UCUAUUACUUUAGCUAGAAACUCAUGGACUAGCUAACUAUGAAGAAGAAUCAUAUAUGUCCUGAUUUAUGUAAAAUGACACCAUAAAGGCUCUCCUUAUUGAUGGUUGGUUAUGUGUACAUAAAACCUAUUAUAAAUGGCACUCUCAGUGUCCAGUGGGUCUUAUUCAUGAGAUUGAUAACCUGUGGGUUAAAACUUUUGCUCUGAUUUUUAUUUAUCACAUUAAUAAAGAGUGUUGAAGUAGCUUCAGAGAAAGCAAAGUUGAGUUCUUCCACCAAACCUCUAUAUUGGCCUCUUUAAACUCUCUCUGUGGUUACAGAGGAUGCAUUUGAUGAUGAAAAUAAUUCAGAGAUACCACAUAUAGCUAAAGAAAUUACUCAGAGCAUGAUUCAUGGAGAGAGAGUUAUAUGACAAAACCCCAAAUCAGGAGUCACCUUUUUUUCUGUUACAUUUUAUCAAGUAAGAACUUGAACCAAUUCAAACACUAUUCAGGUAGCUCAAUGAAUGAGAAGUUUUUGAGCUGAACAGUACCUAGUCCUCUCUCCUCUUUUUCAAAUGGGAAAACUGAGGUUCAAAAAUGCUAAGCUUCUUAUCCAGGUUUACAUGACCAAUAAAUUCUAAAUGGGAGAUAAGAACACAGUUCUCCUUGCUCUAGUGACAUUUCUACUCUACCACAUAAGGUUAAAAUAGGGCCUCAACCUGGAGUUUCUAUGAAACUAGGAACUCCCAGGUAUGGAAACUCUCCAUAAAAGGAGGUUGGCAUCUUCUCUGUAAUUUACUGUCUUAGAGUUGCCUAGAGAAUUGAGAACUCAAUUCACUUGUCCAGGGACACACAUCCAGUGUGCAUCAGACAUGGUACGUAAAACUAGGUCUUACAUAUUUUAAGCCAACACCCUACUCACUUUACCAGACUUUCUCAUUAUACUAUGUUCCAUGACCCAUUUUAAAAGUGGAAUUCUUUGAAAUUCUUGAAAGAUCUUAGUGUUUUGCCUAACUAGUUAGUGCAAACGGUUCCUCUAGUCCAUUUUGCCUUCCAUCCUGUCUUGGGUGUGGAACUCAUCUUCUCCUCACAACCUAAAAUGGACACAAUAAUCAAAUCAGUAAGACCAAUGUUUCUAGAAAAGCCGUGCAGACUGAAUGCCUUAUUGACCAACUCAUCAUAUCUGAGAUUCAUCAUACCAGAACUCCCUCCUCUGGCUACCAGAAAUCUCCUCACAUCAUUUCCUUCUAUUGAAACAUAAGCACUCAGAGAGCAGAGUUGGCCUAACUUUUAUAUUUAUAUUCCCAGUAGCUAGCACAGUGCCUGGCACAUACUAAAUAUCUAAAAAAGAAAUGCUUAUUCUCUCAUCCUGCUUUACUCUUUCAGACUGAAAUCUAUUCUCUUCACAAGGGGAUUAAAGACUUCUGGUAAAAGGCAGUAUAGGUAAACAUUAGUAUCCAAGGUCAAGUAUUAAUUAAUCCAAUAAAUAUUUAUUAGCUCCUCUGAUGCAUAAGGCCCCCUCCCACAUAGACAAUCAAGUAUUCAAAGACUAAAUCAAAAAGUAUGGAAUGAUAAUGAACACCUUUCUUGGAAGUACUUCAAGUUUAGUAGGUAGUUUAAAACAAUGCUAUUUUUCCCCUAAGCUUUAAGAACUCCAGAAGUUUGAAUUUUUAAUUAUAUAAUACUUUAGGUUGGCAUAAGAAGGAUCUAUGAUAUAGAGCAGAAGAGAACUUGAGAUUCAGUCUUGUCUCUGACACAUAUUAACUUUAUGAUCUUGGGCAACUUGCUUAACCGCUUGGCUCUAUAGACAACUAACUCUUAAAAUUUAGUUUAUGAGAAAGUCUCAUCUACAUUGUAGAAAAAGGUCCUCACUGGGAGUUUCCUAUGCCAAUACAAUCAGAUCUCCAAUACCGUUUUCCUUCCUUUGUUGGCAUUGAACUUUAUAGCCUUCAUAUAGCUUAACUCAGAAAUGUCAAGUGAUUUGCCUAUGAUUUAUUGCUGUUACCUUGCUGUUUGCUUUGAGUUAUUUUCUGUUCUGAUAUAACCAUAUCUAAUGAUGAUUAUGAUAACAGCUAAAUGUAUUCAGUGCCUACUAUAAGCCAGGCACUAUGCUAAGCAUUUUAUCGAAUAUUUUCUCAUUUAGUCUGCACAAUAAUCCUGGGAGGUAAGUUUUAUUAUUAUUGCCAUUUUAAAUUUGAGGAAACUGAAGCAAAUAGUGGUUAAGUGACAAACUCAAGAUCAGAGAACUAGUGUAUAAAGCUGAAUCUGAACUCAUUUCUUCCUCAAUUUGGACCAUCUGCUAUGCCACCUAGAUGACCAUAUGAGUAUUACAUUCAAUAGUACAGGACAAUUUUAGAAAGGGCAUUAGGAAUUAAAAGUAAAAAUAUUAAGAUGACAGGAUGGAAAAGAUACAAGAUAUCAUGCUAUAAGAAGAUCCAUUGAAGAAAUUAUUCAUCUUUGAUUCAUAAAGAGAUGAUCUAAUAUGGCCAUCACCUCUGUUUUCAAGUAUUUGAAAGGAAUGUAGAAGAAAGAUUGACCUAGAAAAUUUGCAGCAAUGAGCAAGCAUUGUAGAGAGGCAGAUGUUGACGUGACAUGAAGAAUAUAUUUCCUAACAUUUAGAGCUAUGGAUUUAGUACUAUUUCUUACCAGAGGUCUCCCAAGGAAGUCUCAAUAAGUGUUGGAGAAGUUACAAGGUUACUUCAUAAAGGUCCUUUGAACCUUUGAGAUUCUGGGAAACUCAUAUAUUUAAAAGCCAGGUUGGGUCUAACACCUAUGAAGUUUUUAAGAAAUAUAAUUAAUAAAUAGCACAUUUGGAUAGAAAAUCCACAUCUGGGGGCACCUUUGGGGCUCAGUGAAUAGAGAGCCAGAGCUAGAGAUGGGAGGUCCUAGGUUCUGAUCUGGUCUUAGACAAUUCCUAGCUGUGUGACUCUGGGCACAUCACUUAACCCCCAUUGCUUAGCUCUUACCACUCUUCUGUCUUGGAAGUAAUACAUAAUAUUGAUUCUAAGACAGAACAUAAGGGUUAAAAAAAAUCAAACUCACAUCUGCUGUCUCAUUUCUAAAGACUACAACUACAACAUUUACUGUCAUAUUUUUCCCUUAGCCUCAGGUAUUGUUUUUUGACUCCUGUCACAACUGAAAACAUGUGGAAGAGAUUUAUGUUACCUCCCUCUUUUACCCCAAAUGAUGGAGUCCAGGAAGUAGGAGAAAGUGAAAAAGAGAAUCAUCCCACUAGAAGGUACCACACAAAUCAUUUCACAUGAAGAAAUGGACAGAAAGAAAAGUCUGGACUUAGAUCAGUAAGAGCAGAGGCAAGGCAUAGACAAAAGAUUCAGAACUGGUUCAGCAACAAAAAUGACUGGGCAGAGAGUAUUGCUUAAUUCCAGGAGCUUUUCUAGCUCAGCAGAAGUGGCAUCAUUCCAUUUAGAUCCAAUCUAGAUACGUUUCUGCCAGAGCCCUAUCAUUUCUUCAGUGUUUGAAAAACAAAAUACAUUUAGGCUUCUAACCCUCCAUUUGAAAACCUGAAAUAUACAUAGACUUGCUCAUAUCAUUCAAACUUUGAUUACCAUAGAGUGGUGGAGCUGGGGGCUGUAAUAUAAAAACCUAUAAAAUUGAACUUGAUAUGAACCAUGACAGGCCUCCUUAACUUGCUGAUGCUCUAGCUUUCAAGUGGAUUCUUUCACUGUAUUAUUCCAAAUGUGGAUAAAGUGAUAAGUGAAUUUUAAAAUGAUUGUAUAAGUGAAGUGCAUUGUCAUUCCGCUAAGCAUUUUGCCCUGGGGGAUCAGAAAAAUGUAACAGUCUCAUUUCCUUUCUUCAAAGUGCCUAAGGUUUUGGAUUGGCAUUGGAAGAAAGUUUUUAGGGUGUGUGUGUGUGUGUGUGUGUGUGUGUGUGUGUGUGUGUGUGUGUGUGUACACAUUUCCUAUUCAAAACUAUCUUUGUUUCAGUACAGACUAUUUGACUAAUAUACAGAAGGGUCCUUUUGAAAGGGGAGGGAGAAAGAGAGAGGGAAACUAAAGGAAAAAAAAGGCAAUUUGGGGUGUUUAAAAGAACAGGAGAAAGGCAAAGGUAGACACAAAAGUUAAAAUGGCACAGACCUGUGUGUGUGUGUGUGCACGUGUGCAUAUGCAUGUAUGUUUGUAGGUGGGAGACAAGUGUAGGGAGGAAGCUGUGGAAGGAAGGAAAAGAGAGGGACCAUCAAUUUAGGGAAGGAGAGGGUAUGAAAGUCCAUUCUCUCUCCAUUUUACAGGUAAGAGAAUUGAGAUCCAGGGAGAUGAAAUAAAUAUCACAUGUAAUAAAUAUCAGUUUUAAACUUUGAAAUCUGUUCCUCUGCAUUCAAUUUUUUCUACUUUAUAGGAGGGGAGGGGGACCUAUAAAUAGUUGGUGGGGGUGUGUAUGUAUGUGUAUGCUAACAGGGUUUGAGAAAGUGAAAGAAAUGUCACUGGGCAGACUGAAAGGGGAAAGAAAAUGGAGAAAAGAAAAAAGGAGAGGUCAAAAAAAAAACAAAAGAAGGAAGAGAAGGCAGAGGAAAGGGAAGGAGAGAAAGGAACAGAGAUAAGGGGAGAAGGGAACAAUUUGCUUGUAUAUAUGUACAUGUAGAAAAGUUAUAUAGAACUUUAAGUGAAAACCUAAUAUCCCUUGAUAUUUUUUCUAUAUGGAGAUAACAGUUUCUCAUUUGAAAAUCAUGAAGUCAACUUGGAAAUAAUCAAAAAUGUAAAUACUAUUUAGGGGGAAACAAAUUUCUGUCUGUGUUUGACUCACCAUAAAUAUUUAAGUUUAUACCCACAAAACUCAGAUGAUAUCCCUAGCAAAAAGUAGGUCUUAUUUCAUAAGAGGACAUCUACCCUGGACUGGGAAGCAUGAAUUUCUAAUUCUUACCUGAAUGUUCUAAAAUUACCAUGGAUAUGAAGCUAGUAAACAAUGACCAGAACUCCAAAUAAAAAAAUGCAUGCAUGCAUGAAUGAAUGAAUGAAUAAACAAAAAAAAAGGUAAUUGAUGUGUAUCUUAUUUCUUAUGUGUAUCUGCUGUCUACCUCCCACUUCAGUCAAAAGGGUGUCUUGAAGCUUUCUUGGAACUCUGAAUCUUUUUUUUUUAAUCAGUUGAAUUUGUUUGAUGAAGGAAAUUAGGUUUAUUAGCAGAUUUGUCAGAAAGUUUUCAGCUGAAUACAAAUAUCCAAGGGGAAAAAAAGAGAAAGAUUUAUGAUUUUAAAAAAUAGUGUUUAACAAAUUCUUUCUCCUAAAAAUGAAAAACAAAUCACUUAGAACUGUUUCCUUUGGAUGGAGAUAAUACUUAGGCUUCACUUACUACCUAUGUGUUACAUUAAAGUUCCAGAAUUUUUAUAAGAAAUUACUUAAAAUGUUAGACAAAUAAAAAUGUUAGUUUAUAAUUUGUAUUAUGUAAAACAAAGAAGGGUAGAUAAGUACUUUAUUGAAAUUUUCUUUUCAUUAAUAAUUUACAUUUUUCAGAUGCCUGGCACUUUUAACUAUUUUUUUAAAGCUUUGGACCUAGAGGAGAACCUAAAAUAUUAUGCAGGGUAAAGCUUUUGAGCCCAAUACAGAUCUUAUAAUACUCCUGUACUUUACUCCAGAGGAGAAAUUUUAGUCACUCUCUUGCUUUCUUAGAUAUAGACUCCACACUACCUAAUUUUACAUAUCUAAUGUGAUCAUUUUACCCUAAAGUGUUCUAUUUUACCCUGUUUCCUGAGGCAGGUGUGUGCAUGCAUUAAAUAAACUUCCAUUUUUAUAAAUGAGUAAAUUAAAAUGUUUAUGCUUAAUGGGCUAAUUCACAUUAAUUCAACAAACAAUUAUUAAUGGCCUACAAAGUAUAAGGCAGUGGGGCUUUCACCAGGGAUACAAAGAUGAAAACUGCAACAUAUUGACAAACAUUUAGAUAAUAUGAGAUAGAAUAUGAUAAGAGCAAAGGAGAAAUUUCAAUAAAUACUCUAAGAUAAUUUGUUAAGGAAUAAUUCCAUCUGAUGGGAAAUGUCAGACAAGACUUAAUAGAGGAAACUGAGCCUCCUUUAAGGAGGAAGACCAAGUGGAGAGCCUGAUUAUGUAUGCACAGAGACUGUAGUGUAGGCCUGGAGAACACAGAAUGCUUGAAAAAGAAAGAUGCAAUAAUUCUAGAAUUUUAGAUUUUUUAACAACACUGCAGGCCUCAGAGUAAGAAGCUCACAUUUUAUUCAGCAUGCAGGAGGGAGCUAUUGAAGGUAUUUCAUCCUGGAAAGGCCAUACCUGGAAAAAAUAGAUGAUGUUGAAUAUUUCCUUUUUGAGGAUCUUAAUUAAAUGAAGUGUUAUUGAACUGCCUGAACAGAUGCCAGUGAAGAACUGAAGUCCAAUAACGUGAAAGGCUUGAUUCUGUCAGGAAUGGCAUUUACAUUCUUUUCCUAGUCAUUUAUUUAUGUAUACAUCUAUUAUUCUCCAAGUAACAUUCAAAAUGCUGACCCCAUCAUAUGUGUGUAAUGAUUUAGAAAUACUGCAGUGGUUAUAAAUUUUGACUUUUAAUACAUCACA